GGCCUCAAUGAUGAAUUAGAGGAAGUUAUUGUCGAGAAAACGAGACAGACUUUAGCUUCCGUUGCAUCAGGACCAAAACACACCCA
rfam:Human rhinovirus 83 VP1 capsid protein gene, partial cds.